rnacentral:rRNA from 1 species
CGCGUAGGCGGUGCGGUAAGUCUGGUGUGAAACCUCCAGGCUCAACUUGGAGCUUGCAUCAGAAACUGCCGUGCUCGAGUGUGGGAGAGGAGAGUAGAAUUCCCGGUGUAGCGGUGAAAUGCGUAGAUAUCGGGAGGAAUACCGGUGGCGAAGGCGGCUCUCUGGACCACAACUGACGCUGAGGCGCGAAAGCUAGGGGAGCAAACAGGAUUAGAUACCCUGGUAGUCCUAGCCUUAAACGAUGAACACUUGGUAUAGCGGGUAUCGAAUCCCGCUGUGCCGGAGCUAACGCAUUAAGUGUUCCGCCUGGGGAGUACGGUCGCAAGGCUGAA